CCUACGGGAGGCAGCAGUGAGGAAUAUUGGUCAAUGGGCGCGAGCCUGAACCAGCCAAGUCGCGUGAGGGAAGACGGUCCUAUGGAUUGUAAACCUCUUUUGCCGGGGAGCAAAACACGCCACGUGUGGCGCUCCGAGUGUACCCGAAGAAAAAGCAUCGGCUAACUCCGUGCCAGCAGCCGCGGUAACACGGGGGAUGCGAGCGUUAUCCGGAUUGAUUGGGUUAAAGGGGUGGGCAGGCGGAAGAACAAGUCAGUGGUAAAGUUGAGAGGCUCAACCUCUUCGAGCCGUUGAAACUGGUUGUCUUGAGUGAGCGAGAAGUAUGCGGAAUGCGUAGUGUAGCGGUGAAAUGCAUAGAUAUCACGCAGAACUCCGAUUGCGAAGGCAGCAUACCGGCGCGCAACUGACGCUCAUGCACGAAAGUGUGGGUAUCGAACAGGAUUAGAUACCCGAGUAGUC
rnacentral:rRNA from 1 species